rnacentral:rRNA from 1 species
AUGGUGGAGGAACCAUCUGCCAAGCGUCCCCGUGGUGAGACGUCCGACCAGAGCACCGAGGUCGAUGAUGUUCAGGUCCCCGAUCAGAAGCACGACUACAAAAGGCACCUCAAGGAGGUUGACAUCCACGGCAAGGAAAAGGUGGAUGUCGUAUGCACUAGCAAUCCUGACGAAGCUGACAAGAUGAUCAGCAGGGUCCUGAAGAGGGUCUGCGGCUUGUACCCUCAGUACAUCGGCGUUGAUGUCGAGUAUACCAGGGAAGACGAACCACCGCAGAGGGUAGCGGUUCUGCAGUUAUGCGUGGAGGAACUCUGUCUGGUAUACCACAUCACCGCGACAACAAAAUGGACCAAGAGCAUGCGCCCGUUCCUGAAGGAGGACUGGUUCUACACCUUUGUCGGCUUCAGUAUUGGAGGUGACAGAGAGAUGCUGCGAAGAUCUGGUUUGGAGAUCAACCCUGACAAGUACAUCAACAUCCAGCGCAAAUGGAGAGUUCCGUUCAAGGGAAGAAAGAGGUGCCACUCUUUGGCUGAUGUUGCAGGGAGGGUGAUCCACCCAUUCUACAAAUAG